GACGAACGCUGGCGGCGUGCUUAACACAUGCAAGUCGAACGGAAAGGCCCUGCUUGCGGGGUACUCGAGUGGCGAACGGGUGAGUAACACGUGGGUGAUCUGCCCUGCACUUCGGGGUAAGCCUGGAGAACUGGGUCUAUUACCGGGUAGAGGCCCUCUUUCUUGUGGUGGGUGGAAGGUUUUUUGGGUGGGGUGUGGGCUCGCGGCCUAUCAGGUUGUUGGUGGGUGAAUGGCCUACCAAGGCGGCGACGGGUAGCCGGCCUGGGAGGGUGGACGGCCACAAUGGGAAUGGGAUACGGGCCAGAACUCUACGGGAGGCAGCAGUGGGGAAUAUUGCAAAAUGGGGGGAAGCCUGAUGCAGGGAAGCCGGGGGGGGGAUGACGGGCUUUGGGUUGGAAACUCCGUUCGCCAGGGACGAAGCUGUGUGUGACGGUACUGAGAAAAGAAGCACCGGCUAACUACGUG
rnacentral:rRNA from 1 species